rnacentral:tRNA from 1 species
UCCCUGGUGUCUCAACUGGUAAAGAAUCCACCUGCAAUGUGGGAGACCCAGGUUUGACCCCUGGGUUGGGAA